CAAUAGCGUAUAUUAAAGUUGUUGCAGUUAAAACGCUCGUAGUUGAACAUCUGCCCUUUUCCGGUUAGGUCCGCUCUGCGUGCACCUUCCGAAAUCGGCAUCCGUCUGCGUUGCUUCGCAUUGCAGACCGUUCACUUUGAGGAAAUUAGAGUGUUCAAAGCAGGCUUACGCCUUGAAUACUUCAGCAUGGAAUGAUUGAUAGGACUUCUAUCCUAUCUUGGUUCUAGGGACAGAAGUAAUGGUAAACAGGGUUGGUUGGGGGCAUUCGUACUGAGCAGUCAGAGGUGAAAUUCUUAGAUUUGUUCAAGACGAACAACUGCGAAAGCAUUUGCCAAGGACGACCCCAUUAA
rnacentral:rRNA from 1 species